rnacentral:rRNA from 1 species
UACGUAGGGGGCGAGCGUUGUCCGGAUUUAUUGGGCGUAAAGAGCGUGUAGGCGGCCAGGUAGGUCUGCUGUGAAAACUCGAGGCUCAACCUCGAGACGUCGGCGGAAACCAUCUGGCUAGAGUCCGGAAGAGGAGAGUGGAAUUCCUGGUGUAGCGGUGAAAUGCGCAGAUAUCAGGAAGAACACCCGUGGCGAAGGCGGCUCUCUGGGACGGUACUGACGCUGAGACUCGAAAGCGUGGGGAGCGAACAGG